rnacentral:lncRNA from 1 species
CCAAAAACUCAUGUCAGCAGCGUGAUGAGCCUGGAGCUGUGGAAAAGCACUUCUAGAGCCUUUGGGACCGUUGCACAAAGGGUCUUCAGGUGAAUAAGGGGAGGUGGGAGAUGCUCCUGGUGAAACAGCAGUGCAGCAAUGCCAUUUCUCCAAGUGGAGGCAAAUUUGUGUGCGCGAGGACCCAUACACUGCAGGAGAGCAAGAGCCAGGCUGUCCCUCCAUGAGCUGUGCUG